ensembl:lincRNA
ACAUACGUAUUACAUCGUACAUUCGACAUGUACACGCUUUAUGACAACGUAGCCCAAGGUGUACGGGUUCAUCAGGGUCCGGGGGAACCGGUGACCGUUUGGAAAGGGAAGGAGAGACCGCGGCGGCGCGAAAAUCGAACCCUCCGGGCAUGUCCGGGCUUGUCCCCUCGUUUUCCUUUCCAGGGGUUUUCCGGGCUCGUCCGCAGAUCGCGUGUCCGCAGAUCCCGUGCCCGCGCUUUAAAUGCGCCCGAGCGUCCCAGCGAUGGACCACGCCGUGUUGGUCACUCCGACGGGAGCGCGCUCCGCACUCGUGCGCCUCUCCACGCUGCUCUACCUGAUGCGCGUUCCCGGGGCGGUCCCCGAGUGCGAUGGGCACGGCGACGGCUCGUACCCGGUGUGCCGCUGCGGAGUGGAGUUCGCGCGACUGCUGGAACUGGAAGGGACGCGUGAACAGCACGAGCUCCGCACGCACUACCAGCGUGCACCCAACGGCCGGUGGUACACCUGCCAACGGUGUUUUGCUUGCAAAUAUACAGGCCGUGCUGUUCACCUCACCUGUGCUGGUGAUAGAGAUACUGUCUGUGGGGAAUGCCUCAACCCAAACCAGCGUUAUGACCCUCACUCGCUGGUCUGCGUUGACCGGGAAAUUUCACACGAUGGCUGCCACCCCAUACCCGAUGCCACCGCAACCACAGUUACUCAGCAGCGCUGGUUCAUCCCUGCACUUGCAAUGAGCUCACUGAUUCUGCUCAUCCUUGCGACACUCAUCAGUCACAUGAUAUGCAGACCCUUCCAGGGUCACUCAUCAAUUGAAGUUAGGCCCAUGGACCAUCAAGACACAUUGUGACUCGAAGAGGGGCCUGGUGACUAUGGACGCAAAUGCAUUAAAUUUCCUGUUUUAAGAAGACCCACACUGCGACGAUAUCCACGAAGGAAGCAGCAGAGGUCCUCGGGUUUAAGCAACUGUGGUGAGGCUUCCAGAGAAUGGGAAACAAACUGAUUUGACUCUUUAUAUUACAUCCGUGAUGGUUGAAUUUCUUCCAUGUGAUCUCUUUAUGUUGCACCAUAGAAGUUUGGGAAUAACACAGCAACACUUAUUUACCAUUCUCACAAUUAUGCUCUCAUUGCUUAUCUAUUAUGUAUCAAGAGGGUGGAUUGUGCAGUAGUGAAGGCAUUCAUCCAGUCAUCUCAUCUGCAUUUGCUUUUCAAGAUAACACAUACUUUAGUCUCUUUAGAACAAGUGUGCAGCUUUGCAAAAACUCUUCAGCAAUAUAUCAUAGUAAGUGAAGCAUCAUAGCUAUUGAGAAAGCAAGUGAUGUGAGUGGAGUGUAAUGCAAGUUAUAGACACAAUUAAUGAAAUGGAUGAACUAAUUCAAAUGAGAUUUAGAUAUGACAGGAGUGACAGGCUGGACAGCCCUUUCUGCCCUUGGAUCUUUGGCCCCAAUGGAGUCGAGUUCAGAGACAUCAGCAUUGUUGGAGGCACUCGAAUGAAGCUGAAGGAAAUUAUGUUUUGUCCCCCAUUUGUCUUUUAUGUAAUUCCUUAAACGAACAAAGAACUUGUCCUUAUGGACGUGUUGAUUCCACCACUUUUAUAAUUUUGACUUUGUAAUACCCGCC